rnacentral:rRNA from 1 species
AACGAACGCUGGCGGCGUGCCUAACACAUGCAAGUCGAGCGAGAAAGUCCCGGCAACGGGAUGAGUAAAGCGGCAAACGGGUGAGUAACGCGUGGGUAAUCUACCCUACGGAUCGGGAUAACCUGCCGAAAGGUGGACUAAUACCGGAUGAUGUUCUCGCGGUGAUUCCGUGGGAACCAAAGGGGGCGAGCGUAAGCAGCUCUCACCGAAGGAGGAGCCUGCGUCCGAUUAGCUAGUUGGUGGGGUAAUGGCCUACCAAGGCGACGAUCGGUAGCCGGCCUGAGAGGGCGAUCGGCCACACUGGAACUGAGACACGGUCCAGACUCCUACGGGAGGCAGCAGUGGGGAAUAUUGCGCAAUGGGCGAAAGCCUGACGCAGCGACGCCGCGUGGGUGAUGAAGGCCUUCGGGUCGUAAAGCCCUGUCUGGUGGAACGAAACGCCUGGCGGCCAAUACCCGCCGGGUUUGACGGUACCACCGAAGGAAGCCCCGGCUAACUACGUGCCAGCAGCCGCGGUAAGACGUAGGGGGCGAGCGUUGUUCGGAUUUACUGGGCGUAAAGCGCGCGUAGGCGGCCAGAUAAGUCGGGUGUGAAAGCCCUCGGCUCAACCGAGGUUCCGCAUCCGAUACUGCUUGGCUGGAGUCUAGGAGAGGAGAGCGGAAUUCCCAGUGUAGCGGUGAAAUGCGUAGAUAUUGGGAGGAACACCCGUGGCGAAGGCGGCUCUCUGGACUAGUACUGACGCUGAGGCGCGAAAGCUAGGGGAGCGAACGGGAUUAGAUACCCCGGUAGUCCUAGCCGUAAACGAUGGGCACUAGGUGUGGGAGGUAUUGACCCCUUCCGCGCCGAGGCUAACGCAUUAAGUGCCCCGCCUGGGGAGUACGGCCGCAAGGCUAAAACUCAAAGGAAUUGACGGGGGCCCGCACAAGCGGUGGAGCAUGUGGUUCAAUUCGACGCAACGCGAAGAACCUUACCAGGGCUUGACAUCCCACGAACCUGCCUGAAAGGGCGGGGUGCC